UACGUAGGGGGCUAGCGUUGUCCGGAAUCAUUGGGCGUAAAGCGCACGUAGGCGGCUUUGUAAGUUAGAGGUGAAAGCCCGGGGCUCAACCUCGGAAUUGCCUUUGAUACUGCAUCGCUUGAAUCCAAGAGAGGUGAGUGGAAUUCCGAGUGUAGAGGUGAAAUUCGUAGAUAUUCGGAAGAACACCAGUGGCGAAGGCGGCUCACUGGCUUGGUAUUGACGCUGAGGUGCGAAAGCGUGGGGAGCAAACAGG
rnacentral:rRNA from 1 species